GCCCCCGUAGCUCAGUAGGAUAGAGCAACGGUUUCCUAAACCGCAGGUCGCAGGUUCGAAUCCUGCCGGGGGUACCA
rnacentral:tRNA from 1 species